rnacentral:rRNA from 1 species
ACGACCGUACCGCAAACCGACACUGGUGCGCGAGAUGAGUAUUCUAAGGCGCUUGAGAGAACUCAGGAGAAGGAACUCGGCAAAUUGACACCGUAACUUCGGAAGAAGGUGUGCCUUUAGUAGGUGAACCUGUACAAGGGGAGCCCAAUGAGGUUGCAAAAAAUCGGUGGCUGCGACUGUUUAAUAAAAACACAGCACUCUGCAAACACGAAAGUGGACGUAUAGGGUGUGACGCCUGCCCGGUGCUGGAAGAUUAAAUGAUGGGGUGCAAGCUCUUGAUUGAAGUCCCAGUAAACGGCGGCCGUAACUAUAACGGUCCUAAGGUAGCGAAAUUCCUUGUCGGGUAAGUUCCGACCUGCACGAAUGGCGUAACGAUGGCCACACUGUCUCCUCCUGAGACUCAGCGAAGUUGAAAUGUUUGUGAUGAUGCAAUCUCCCCGCGGAAAGACGGAAAGACCCCAAACCUUUACUGUAGCUUUGUAUUGGACUUUGAACAGAUCUGUGUAGGAUAGGUGGGAGGCUUUGAAGUGUGGUCGCUAGAUCGCAUGGAGCCAACGUUGAAAUACCACCCUGGUGUGUUUGAGGUUCUAACCUAGGCCCGUAAUCCGGGUCGGGGACAGUGCAUGGUAGGCAGUUUGACUGGGGCGGUCUCCUCCCAAAGCGUAACGGAGGAGUUCGAAGGUACGCUAGGUACGGUCGGACAUCGUGCUAAUAGUGCAAUGGCAUAAGCGUGCUUAACUGCGAGACUGACAAGUCGAGCAGAUGCGAAAGCAGGACAUAGUGAUCCGGUGGUUCUGUAUGGAAGGGCCAUCGCUCAACGGAUAAAAGGUACUCUGGGGAUGACAGGCUGAUACCGCCCAAGAGUUCAUAUCGACGGCGGUGUUUGGCACCUCGAUGUCGGCUCAUCUCAUCCUGGGGCUGUAGCCGGUCCCAAGGGUAUGGCUGUUCGCCAUUUAAAGAGGUAUGUGAGCUGGGUUUAAAACGUCGUGAGACAGUUUGGUCCCUAUCUUCCGUGGGCGCUGCAGAUUUGAGGAAGCCUGCUCCUAGUACGAGAGGACCGGAGUGGACACACCUCUGGUGUAUCGGUUGUCACGCCAGUGGCAUUGCCGAGUAGCUAUGUGUGGAAGAGAUAACCGCUGAAAGCAUCUAAGCGGGAAACUCGUUUCAAGAUGAGAUCUGCCGGGGCCUUGAGCCCCCUAAAGAGUCGUUCAAGACCAGGACGUUGAUAGGUCGGGUGUGGAAGCGCAGUAAUGCGUUAAGCUAACCGAUACUAAUUGCUCGUGCGGCUUGACCA